GAUGAACGCUGGCGGCGUGCCUAAUACAUGCAAGUAGAACGCUGAAGGAAGGAGCUUGCUCUUUCCGGAUGAGUUGCGAACGGGUGAGUAACGCGUAGGUAACCUGCCUGGUAGCGGGGGAUAACUAUUGGAAACGAUAGCUAAUCCCGCAUAACCGUAAAGUUUGAAUGAUUUCUACUUAAAAGGUGCAAUUGCACCACUACCAGUUGGCCCGGCGUUGGAUUAGCUAGUUGGUGGGGUAACGGCUCACCAAGGCGACGAUACAUAGCCGACCUGAGAGGGUGAUCGGCCACACUGGGACUGAGACACGGCCCAGACUCCUACGGGAGGCAGCAGUAGGGAAUCUUCGGCAAUGGACGGAAGUCUGACCGAGCAACGCCGCGUGAGUGAAGAAGGUUUUCGGAUCGUAAAGCUCUGUUGUAAGAGAAGAACGAGUGUGAGAGUGGAAAGUUCACACUGUGACGGUAUCUUACCAGAAAGGGACGGCUAACUACGUG
rnacentral:rRNA from 1 species